rnacentral:snRNA from 1 species
AUACUUACUGGCACAGGAGAUACCGUGAUCACGAAGGCGGUUCUCCUAAGGCGAGGCUCAUCAUUGCACUCGGUGUCGCUGACCCUUGCGAUUACCCAAAUGUGGUUAACUCGAGUGCGCAAUUUUUGUAAGCGGGGGACUCCGUUCGCGCUAUCCCCCU